rnacentral:rRNA from 1 species
UACGUAGGGUGCGAGCGUUAAUCGGAAUUACUGGGCGUAAAGCGUGCGCAGGCGGCUUUGCAAGACAGAUGUGAAAUCCCCGGGCUCAACCUGGGAACUGCAUUUGUGACUGCAAAGCUGGAGUACGGCAGAGGGGGAUGGAAUUCCGCGUGUAGCAGUGAAAUGCGUAGAUAUGCGGAGGAACACCGAUGGCGAAGGCAAUCCCCUGGGCCUGUACUGACGCUCAUGCACGAAAGCGUGGGGAGCAAACAGG